UCACGGGCCGGGGCGGGGUCCCGGGUGAUUGGCGGCCCCGGGCUCUGCCGCUAAGCUAUUGGCCCUAAGGAACGCUUUUCAACACCCUCUCGACUUCCCGGCUCUCUGAUUCAUCGGUAGAAGGACGUCUGUCUCUGCCAAAGGUUUGCCGCGUUCUCUCGUUGGAGGCCGUGCGCAUUCGCAGCACACAAGGCCAGCUGGGACUAGUAGUCCGUCCCUUCGCACUUUGAGCGACUUACCAAAGAUAAAGGGCGAGAAAGGAAAGAUCUUUCCCUUCAAACGUCUCCCUUCCCCAGUGAGCCGGUUCCUGGCCUUGCGUGCUGACAUCACGGGAGGAAUGCGGUGAUGCAGCUGCUCGCCUGUGACGUUAGUGACGGAGGCCGGCCUCGGAGUUCGAUGAUGUCACCUGGCUCUCUGCCCCGCCCCCGCGGUGCCCUCAGAGGCUGGGACAGGGCUCCAGGGCGGGGUUCGAUCCUAGGUCCCAAGCCCGAGCCACCUUCCCGCCGGCUCCGCCCAGGCCCGACUGUGGGCUCACCGCCCCGCCAGCCGGGAAAGGUCACCGCUGCUCGGGCGACCGCGGUUAUCGCGGCCCGGCAGGCAGUACGGGCCGCCCCGGGAAAGGUCUUCCUCAGGCGGGGGACUUAAUUAGAGGCUUCUACAGCGGGCGAUAAGCAAAGGUGAGCGCCAGGCCCCUCCCAGGGGAGCUCGGGCCGCUCAGCAGGUCUCUGCUCCGCCUCCCCCAACCCAUCCCGGUCCUCCGUUCCUCGGUUUCCCCAGGGGAGAAGCGGCUCCGGGACUAGGAUAAGGGAGGAGACGCGAUGAGAUAUCGAAGACCUGAAAGGACCAGCCAGGGGACUCGAGGCGUAACAGCGCAAGAGUGGUGCUGGGAGGGCACCCUUCGCAUUCAUUGAGCAAAUAAAUGUUAACAACAAUAGAAUUCUGUGUGGGGGGCUUAAUACACAAUCAUUAACUAACUAAACUUAAUUCUCGUCAGUCUCCAGUCUCCUGGGGCUCGACGUCUUACAUGGUAUUAAAACAAUAGCAAUGGCAGUUCUGUCACAGAAACUGUUUUGGUCUUGUUUGUUCCGUUCUUGAUCACGUAUCAGGAAUUACAGGAAAAAUAAGUCAUAUGUGAUUAUACAUUUGAUUUCUAUACUUGAUUUCUAUAUUAAUCCCACAGGGUCCGCUAAGACUGGGAUCGGGGUGAAGUGAGUCAUGCAAGUGCAGGGUCCGAGCUUGUCUUUUACUAUUUUUUUUAAUCAUCGCAUAUUUUUUUGCAUUAAUUUUUAGUUUUUAAAAUAUCUUGACGGCUGAGUUUUUUGGCACCCCCUCCCCAUCUAACUUUGUGCCUGAGUCCCACCAGAGACAGAGGAAGGAGGAGAAAGAAAACAAAGGCUCAGAGCUCGUGAUUCUGAUGCCAGUUUUGCUGUGUGACAAUGAGAAAGUGGUUCCCUGUCUCUGAGCUUCCAUUUCCUACUUCACUGGACACUUUCGUUACACUUAGUGAAGAAGGCAGACAAGUCCCUGGACAUUGCAUUUUACUAAGGGAGACACAAUUAUAAGUUAAAUUAAUACAUAUGCUCGGUUCUUAAGGGUUGUAAGAGCAACAUUAAAGGGUAUAGGGUAGGAGGGGAGGAUGCUAUAGCCUGCAUUCCCUGAGGAGGGUCAUUUGGACUGAACCUGAGUUGGGGAGAAGCAAGCCCCACAAAACCGAUGUGGAGGGCACUGCUGGGGCAAAGGCCUGGGGCCAGGAACAAACAUUUGUCUGGAAUAGAAUGAGCAAUAAGGAAAGCACCAGGGGUUGAGGUCAGAGGGCUCAAGGUAGCCAGGUGAUUCUGCAGAAAUCUCAAGAGCUCAGCAAAGCAGAAUAGUCCCAUCAUGGCCAGGUAAGCAAGCAGAAGCUCAGAAGUGGAAGUAGCAACCCCCGGGAUCACACAGCCGGAGGUAGCAGAGCCCAGACAGCCUGUUUCUUUUUCUGGCACUUUGUCCAGUGUGCUGCCCCUGGGUGUGACACUUGAUGGAAAAGGAGAUGCAGCUCUCCUAGUCUUCCUAGAAAUGCUGGCUGAGCUGA